GAUGAACGCUGGCGGCGUGCCUAAUACAUGCAAGUCGAGCGAACAGACGAGGAGCUUGCUCCUCUGACGUUAGCGGCGGACGGGUGAGUAACACGUGGAUAACCUACCUAUAAGACUGGGAUAACUUCGGGAAACCGGAGCUAAUACCGGAUAAUAUAUUGAACCGCAUGGUUCAAUAGUGAAAGACAGUUUUGCUGUCACUUAUAGAUGGAUCCGCGCCGCAUUAGCUAGUUGGUAAGGUAACGGCUUACCAAGGCAACGAUGCGUAGCCGACCUGAGAGGGUGAUAGGCCACACUGGAACUGAGACACGGUCCAGACUCCUACGGGAGGCAGCAGUAGGGAAUCUUCCGCAAUGGGCGAAAGCCUGACGGAGCAACGCCGCGUGAGUGAUGAAGGUCUUCGGAUCGUAAAACUCUGUUAUUAGGGAAGAACAAAUGUGUAAGUAACUAUGCACGUCUUGACGGUACCUAAUCAGAAAGCCACGGCUAACUACGUG
rnacentral:rRNA from 1 species